CUGUGAUGCCACAGAUUCAGCAGCCCCCUGGGGAGUAGGCGAAUGCUUUUUGCAGUUUCCGCAGGGAGCCGGUCUGGAGGUGGAGACUACGUGGGUGUUGAUCUCAAGCUAGCAAACUUCAAAGUAGUGUCUGACAGCCCAGGGCUCUGCAGAAGAGACACGCCAUGACUGUUCCAUGAAUGAAUGAGUGGACGGAAGAGGACCGCCUGUGCGUGAAGUGCAAAACAGUCCUCAGGGCUGCGGAUGAAGGUGGGAAACGAAUGUCCACCUCAUGGAGAAUCUGAUACAGCAUGUUUCUUACUGGAAUACUCAGAUGCGUUUUGCCUGGAUCAGUGCUCAUCUGUCCUCCCCGCCCACCCGGUGCCUGACAGCCAGACCUGGGACAUCAUCUGGCCUGGAGCCGACAAUGAAGAAGGGGGAUGAGCCUCUCCUAAGGCCCAGCCUGCUAACUUCAGAACGGAUCAGGUGGGCCCCUGCCUUUGGGAUGGGCCACUGUAGGUAAUAUAGGAGUGACGUCAGCCCUCCAGAGGAUGCUGGGAAACUACCGACUCCAGCCUGCCGGAUGUCAGAGACGUGGAGUUCGAGCUUCCCAGAACCAGAGAAGGAACUCUGAGGGACCGUGGAGGAUCAUGUAGGCCUGAUCAUUUCCUCUGUAUCUUGAGGCCUGGCCUCCACUAGAUGCGCCUCUGGCCUCAGGUGUACCGUGUUUUCGGCUUCCGCUUGAUUCUCUCCAGGGCCCUGUCUGACUGCUUGUGAUAUUUCCAUCUAACUCAGCUGUCUGUAACAGAAGUAUCUGCCAAAGGGACCGAAUCACACCAUUCUUUUCUUGUUCUGGGUACUGGAGAGAACUUUUCCCCACAUCUCUCAGUCUUAGGAGUGACCAGCAUUGACCUCACCUCUGACCCCAAAGGGAAGGACAGACGCCUGUCCGCAAACUCCAAGGACACAGUGAUGGGCACAGCUGAGCGAGGGAGAUUGACAAGGUCUUCCUGAGUCCUGGAUCCAGCCAUACCUGAAGCCUCUAGACUCCUAAGAAUUAAUAAAUUCCCCUUGUUUGGUUUUGUGCUUGCCCAGUUUUGGAUUGAGUUUCUGCUGCUUGCAACCAAACAGAACUGGCUACUUCAUUCCAUUUGGAAUCCCUCAGGGGUAAAGGAAUCACCAAAUUCCUCUGCCCCUCCUCAAAAAACACACAAGAGCUCAUCCAGUCCUCCAGUGCAGCUCCACAUACCUGUGGGUGCCAGUGCCCUGCUCUUUUAUAAAAGUCCACAGGCUUAGUAAAGUUUCCCGGGGACAGGAGUCUGCAUCCUCCGCCCAUAGCUGGUCUGAGAACACUCCAGAUCCUAAAGAGGCAACAUACGUCUGUAGGUGGCUUGGGAAACAGUCUUCUGCCUGAAGGAGGAAAAAAUCCACCAACAAAACCAAAAUCCUAAUAUUAGAUUUCAUAGGCUACCAAGUAAACUUUCUCUCUUAUAGAACAAAUUGUUUCUAUAGAAACCAAUGCCUUUCUAGCAGCUCAAUUCCUAUCAGAGUCUCCGUGGGAAGAGAUUGGGGAAAUUAGGGAAGCAUAGAAAAAGGCAAAUGCCUGCUGGGGGUCUCCCCACGCCUCCACCCCAGACCCACAGAGGGCAAACGCCACUCUCCUCCCAGAGCCCCAGCACCCGGGGUGACUCUGGCAGCCCUGGGGGAUGCAGUUCCAGCCAGGUCGCCUCUGGUCACCCAAGCAACACAUUCCUCAAGUUACUGGAGCCUAAUUCAGGGUGGCAACUUUUACUCUGAGUCACCUUCUGGGGGUCGGGGGCUCCCCAGGGCCAGAGUGGGCGGAAGUGUACGCAAACCCCCAUGCUAAGUGCUGGCCACCUUGCCUGUGCUUGGACAUCCGGAGAAAACCCUUUCACCUGGAGAAACCCAAGCGCACACGUUGCAAGAAGACUCCAUGAGGCUGCCCAGCUGUCAGGGAGCCCCGCUAGUGAAUACUCUGAAUACUCUCCUCUCUCUCCCCAAGAGUGGGCGGCGGGAUGCCCAGUUGCGGUCACUCUCUUUCUCCAAUGCUCUGUGUCUGGAAUCUUCUGCCUGGAGUCUGACGUCUGCCUGGAGAAGGGCGGAAUCCCCACCAGCUCUCACCAAGGAUGCAGCCCCGGCCGGGUGGACAGAGAGGGAAGCCAGGAAGCUGAGGUCGCAGUCAUCGAAACAAGAACCUGACAGCCCAAGCGGCCACGGCCUUGCUGCGAGCUGAGGACGACAUGCCCAUCCGUGGAGUGGGGUGACAGGAGGUGUGAAUGGGGAGCCCCACUCCACAGGAGCCUCACCAUCCCGCAGGGGCCAGAGGAUCCAGCGGUCCAGGGAAACUGAGUGUGUGGGAGGCGGCGGGGGCAUGGACUGCACUGGAGGGGUUCGACUCUGUCUCAGCCUUGGGGCUGCACCCCUGUGUGCCCCCUGGGCCUCCUCCAGCCACGGGUGUGCUGAGGCGGGGUCCCCUGUGGGGCUGCAGCCCCCGACCCCCACUCCCGUGGGGUUGGACGGUGUAGAAGCCAAUGGAGAAGGCUCAGGACAAGCAGGAGGAGCUCGUGAGAUGUCGGGCUGCUCCCCUUCACCUCCUCCCGCACCUCCGAGGGGGUCGAGCCCUCACCCCACCCCGCCCCCUGAGAGGCAGGAGCCUCCUCCCCAGCUCCCUGCUUCCGCUCACAGACCACAGCCAGCAAAUCUUCCGUGCACAGCUAGAGGGGCCUGUUGGAUUGUUUUGUUUUGUUUUUUGAGACAGGAUCUUGCUGUGUAGCUCAGGCUGGCUUCUAACUGAGAGAGAUCCUCUUGUCUCAGCCUCGCAAGUGCUGGGAUUAUUGGCAUGCACCACCACACCUGGCUCUGAGGAGUGUUUUUUCCCCCAGAGGAAUGUUUUUGAAGCACGAGUCAAAUCAUGCCACUUUGUCAUACUUUUCCUAUGGCUCCCAGGUCCUUCAGAAUAAAAGUUGGAGGUCUAAUAGUGACCUACAAGGUCCUCAGUGACCUGCCCCCACCCUGCCACCAGCUGCUGGCCACACUGCUCCCUUGAUGUUCUUCAGGCACUUUAGGCACGUGCCUGCCACAGGGCUUUUGCAUCACCCACCCUGUGGAUGCUCAAAUGGCCAGCUCCAAGGCCAUCCUGCAGCUGUGCUCCCUAGGACAGGAUCCUUGUGCCACCUUCCUUUGGCUACUCAGUAUAAACUGCCAGCACCCACUCCCAGGACUUAGCCUUCCUCCCCCACUAGGAGACAAACUCCAGGACAGCAGGGAGUGUUUCCCAAAGGAGCACUGAGCACAGAGCAGACUGUCCACAACCUGUGAGGGAAGACAGAGAGAUAGGGUGAGCCGGGAGCAGGGGUGGGGCACAAGCUCCAACCCCAGGCUCCAGGCUCAGGUACACACAGCACCUCCUGUGUGGGCGCCCGCCAUGGGGCAGGCGGAAGGUGCUGAGGUCCUGGUGAACCAGGUGGACGUAGACUUUUAUAUAGAAGAGCAAAGGACAGAGACAAGACAUUUCGUGUCCCCUUUUAGCUAAGCUGUGGCUUUGUGGCCAAAUUCAGUGUUGUACAGGAACUAUCAGAAUGAAUCUUAAAGAAGGGGCUGGAGCUGGGAAAUGGGCUCAUUUUGCUCUUUGCCCUUUCUUCCUUUCUGAUCUCUGGAAUACAGACCUAAUGGCUAAUGCUCCAGCAGUUAUUUUGGGCCAUGAGGCAAACUUGUAGGAGGUGGUGGUGGAACAGAAGCUCCAGCUACUUGAAGACCUGGAACUUGUUAGUACUGGUUAGUACCAGACUGGCUACUUCUGGAACUUUUAGAGGAGAGAAAAUACAGUGCCAUUUGAUACACAACAGGGCUGUGUCAGGACUUUCAUAGAUCUUGGGCAUUUUUGCCUUCACGAAUGCCUUCAUCUGUGGGAGAAAAAACAUUUAACAUUACAUUGUUAUGGCUGUAUUAGCAUAAAGGCUAAAACACUCCAAGCUGGAUUUGUUAUGUAUUGGCUAUUAUUGCAUUCAUGACUUGCCUUCUGAUUCUAAAAGAAACUAAAAUGUUUUCCACUUUUGUGAGCCUUUGUAGUGUCACAGGGCCCAGGCUUUGGCUUCCUCCUGGUUUUGGAGAAGCCGAGAGCCAUGCACAGGUCCCGAAACACCCCACCCUGCCUGCGUUCAGGAGGUGGAAAUCAAGGCCGAACACACUAAGUAAUGCCUAGACUUGGAGCUUGGUCUAGCUCAACCAUAAGGACUAAAUUCUUAACUUCUUAGCUAGAAAAGGAGCUAUUUUUAGCACAGGAAGGUGAUUCUUGGUAGGCUCUUAUUAUCAUUUUUAUUAAUGCAAACAGCUGCGUGCCAAAGAAAAAUAAUAUUGAUGGAUGUAGCAACCGACCAGAUCAGCAAGCAGGCCUCCGGCCAGCACCUUUGCAAUGAUGAGCCCGUCUCGUCUCGGCAGGAAAGGUUUUAAAUCCCCAUCUUUUUCAGGGCUGGAUUUACGUGUCCAAUACCACAAAGAAAACAACUCCACUUAGUUUGACAAACUCCACGAUGCAAAGUAAAUUAUUCUUCUGGAUGUGAUCCUAAAAAUAGCAGGGACCCGCUCUCUUUAGAGACAGCAGCAGUGACUCUGAGUGUGCUGUUUUAAGGGCACGAGUGUGUUUUGAAACACAGAGACUCUUCUGUGGUCUCGGGAAGGGGAAAAAAUUGAUUUUCCAGAUCGCAUGAUAAAUCAUGGGACAAACAACAUCAGAGCCGAAGCAGAGCCACUCCGAGCAGAAGCGCCCUCAGGGUGCGGGUCCGCCUCGCAGCCUCCUCCUGCCUCCUCUGCAAGGGCCAGCCGGUCUUUCCCCAGCUCGGCACUGUGUUUUUAUUUCCUUUUGUGACCUCUCACCACAAAUUAAAAGACAAGGACACGUUGGUGAAACAAAGAUGCCAGAAUUACUUCUGGCCUGUGGACCCUGCCUGGCAGGGGAGGGUUAAGCAUUUGGUUCCCCUGGAGAGUAGGAGAGGUGGCCUCCUGAUGAAAGCCACGGAUGCACAGAGGAAUCUGACUGCUCCAUACCUUCCCAGAAUGGAGGUUAAAAAUGAGGGUGCCAGGAUCAGGCACCCCAAGAUCAAAUCCUGCCCUCAUCCCUUCCCAGAAGAAAGAGUUGGGCAAGCAAAUGAAUGCAAGCCUCAGUUUUCUCAUCUGUAAAGUGGCCACAAUAAGAGUACCUUUCUCUUAGAGUUGAUGGGGAGAAUCAAUAAGAAAUGCACUUGAAGCCUUUAGCACACAGUAAAUGUGCACUUGAGGUUCCCUGUAGACUACACUCAAAACGGGGAGAGGAAAGAGAAGAGUUUCUUAAUUUGGGGGGACUUGUGGGGGUGAGAAUGUUCUGCUUCCUAGGACUGGCCUCAGCUCCCCAGCUGUGUUCACCCUGUGAAAAGUCAUAAGCUGGCCAAGUCUGACUUUCUCACUUCAUGAUGUCUUUAAGUAAGAAGUUCACUCCAACGACAGCAGAAUCCCCGGUACAAAGCUGGAAUUGUUGGAUCGCAGCCAAGGAACCCCCUCGGGGGCCUCCAUGUAGUCCCUGUUCCACACUCUGUCCUGGCAUUACAGGCUGCUGAGCUAGUUAGAAAUAUUACAAGCAGGCAGACAAGGCUGGGCCCUCAAAGGAGCCAGAGCAGAAGUGCAGACACCUUGAAGCCUUGGAAGAGACAAUCACCUCCCACUGCGGGCCAGAUCUCAAGACAAAAGGCAAAGCGAAUACACCCACAUCCUAAGGAUCCACAGUCCAGAUAGUUCUCUGUCACCCUGAGGAAGCCAGGAGUCGGCAUCCCAGCGUCUACAGGAAGUCACUGCUCUAAGCACGCGGCUAUGUGACUCACGCCCCCAUUUGUCCCCUAUUUAAUCAGUUUUACCUGGCAGUUAAUCUUACUGGUUAAUCAUAGUUCUGUCUGGUCUUAUGCCCACCUCGUGAAUGCCCCUGUUUUCCCCAUCUUGGACCCAUCUCACCCGUGGUUUAACUCUACAAAAGUCCCUAGAAAAGACAGAGUGUUUGGCAACCCACUCGGGACCCCUUCUACCUCUCAGACAGAAGCUUUCUUUCUCUCAAUAAAUACAUUCUGCUCUUAA